UUGGGAAUCGGGGUUUUGGGGGGUUUCCUUUUUGCUGCUGUUUCAUUCCUUAUCCACCAGAUGGCGUCUACAGGCGGAGGUUUCUCUGGAGGGACGGGCCUUGGUUCAGCGCACCGGUGUUUAAUCACCUCUUCAGUCAUGGAGCUUAAGAGGAGCGGACUACCAGUACUUCGUCGCUUGAGUGUUAGCCUAUAUGCUAUUCCUUCGUGACGCCAAGCGGCCUCCUUGAAGAAUCCUUCCUGGUUUGACUCACCUCGAGACACCACCUACCCACGGGUUGCCCAAGCCCCGUUUCCGUUCCUUCGGCCGGAUCUCAAAGCCUCUUCCGGAUUAUUCGGCGGAUUGUGGAUCCGCUCCUCGUCUGUCCUCCACCACAGAAACCACUGGCCCGCUCUCUGCCGCAGCCUCCUCCGAUCCUCCUGGACGCCACUCGAACUUACUGUAAGCCAAGACCCGGUAUCCACCGGAGUGCCUCCAGGACUGUCAUCAUCAUUUUCCCAAGUAAGAUCGGCUACUACUCUCACAGCUCCCAUUUCCGAUUACCCCUGAACUUACCAUUCCCUCUGCUACUUCUCAGUGUGCCGACCUCCCCAGAAGCCCUCUCCUGACAGUUCGUCGUUCUAUCCACCGAAUCUGUGUUUACAUUAAUAAACUAUAUUUUGCUGA